GGUCCCAUGGUGUAAUGGUUAGCACUUUGGACUUUGAAUCCAACGACCCGAGUUCGAGUCUCGGUGGGACCU
rnacentral:tRNA from 1 species